GAUGAACGCUGGCGGCGUGCCUAAUACAUGCAAGUCGAGCGAACGGACGAGAAGCUUGCUUCUCUGAUGUUAGCGGCGGACGGGUGAGUAACACGUGGAUAACCUACCUAUAAGACUGGGAUAACUUCGGGAAACCGGAGCUAAUACCGGAUGAUAUUUUGAACCGCAUGGUUCAAAAGUGAAAGACGGUCUUGCUGUCACUUAUAGAUGGAUCCGCGCUGCAUUAGCUAGUUGGUAAGGUAACGGCUUACCAAGGCAACGAUGCAUAGCCGACCUGAGAGGGUGAUCGGCCACACUGGAACGUGGACACGGUCCAGACUCCUACGGGAGGCAGCAGUAGGGAAUCUUCCGCAAUGGGCGAAAGCCUGACGGAGCAACGCCGCGUGAGUGAUGAAGGUCUUCGGAGCGUAAAACUCUGUUAUUAGGGAAGAACAUAUGUGUAAGUAACUGUGCACAUCUUGACGGUACCUAAUCAGAAAGCCACGGCUAACUACGUG
rnacentral:rRNA from 1 species